rnacentral:rRNA from 1 species
AUUGAACGCUGGCGGCAUGCCUUACACAUGCCAGUCGAACGGUAACGGGCCUUCGGGUGCCGACGAGUGGCGCACGGGUGAGUAAUACAUCGGAACGUGCCCGAUCGUGGGGGAUAACGAGGCGAAAGCUUUGCUAAUACCGCAUACGAUCUACGGAUGAAAGCAGGGGACCGCAAGGCCUUGCGCGGACGGAGCGGCCGAUGGCAGAUUAGGUAGUUGGUGGGAUAAAAGCUUACCAAGCCGACGAUCUGUAGCUGGUCUGAGAGGAUGAUCCGCCACACUGGGACUGAGACACGGCCCAGACUCCUACGGGAGGCAGCAGUGGGGAAUUUUGGACAAUGGGCGCAAGCCUGAUCCAGCCAUGCCGCGUGCAGGAUGAAGGCCUUCGGGUUGUAAACUGCUUUUGUACGGAACGAAAAGCCUUCUUUUAAUACAGGAGGGUCAUGACGGUACCGUAAGAAUAAGCACCGGCUAACUACGUG